CUUGUUCUGUCUCUUUUCUGUAUAUAACUGUAUGUAUCCUAUGCUUUGUAUGUCUCUUUUCACAACGCUUCAUAUUUUAUAUUUGUAUAAUUGUUGGAGAACUUUCGUUGCUAAGUUGAUCUUAUGAAGUAGAUAAAAUUUUUGAUUUUCUACAUUUUCUUCAAUACCUAUGUUAUAUUUAACGAAAUGACACUAUAUAUUUUUGUUAGUUAAAAGGCUGAUCACUGUAUAUUUUUGGUAGAUUGCUAUGGGGUUUCUGUUUUAUAAGAUCAGCAAUGUAUUUGUUGAAGGCACUGUAUAUCUGGAUUUGGAUGCAGUACACAAUUGUAAUACUCCCUCGUUUUCAAAUAAUUGACGUUUUUAUAAUGCAUUGACCUUAUAGUCACAAUUAUUCUUUUCGAAAUUUUCUUUUUGUGAAUUAAAAUAUAAGUUUAAUAUUUUUAUUUAGAAAAAGAAAAUUUUAAAAAUAAUAACUCUGGCUAUACAGUCGAUGUCCUUCAAAACGUGUGGCAAAAUGUCAAACGUCCAUUUAAAAAUAUAGGGAAUAAUAGAUAUUAGUAUAUUACCACUCGGCUAAGGCUCAAAAUGUCGUUAAUUGUUGCAUGACAUUGAGAUUUUUGAGGUGGGUCAGCUUCUACUAAGUAGUAUAUCAUUUUCAGCUAGUUUACAUCCAUUUCUUUCUCUUUAAAUUUAUUUGUCUGUCUGGUUCAACCGACUUGGCCUUUGUGAUAAGUUUUGGAUUCUGUCUUUGAUGUAACCAAUUGUUCAAUGUGUAACCAAGGUUAAUAUGAAAACAGACAGGUUGAGACGUUGAGUUAAAGUUGUAAGUUGUAACAAAGGGCAAUGUAGAGGGGAGGGAUUAUUUUGGUAAUCUAACUAUCGUUGGCAGAUUUUCAGAGUAUGGAGACUACUUAUAUAAACAGUCCAUGGCUUAAUUAACGAGCCAAUAGUCAAGCACUUUUGAUUUCAUUAGAUGCAGGUAUGUAGAUAGAGGAGAUAUGAUAAAAGAACAGUAUGAAUAGCAGCAAAUUUUAGCUAGGCUAACUCCUAUACAAAUUCCAUGGCCUACUUUCUAUCCUACACCAACUUGGUGUGGGAUUGUAUUAUUAGAUAUUAAUGUACCAAUCAUAAUAUUGAAUAAGUGAGAAUGCAACUCAAACUGUAGAUUCUAAGGAAAAAAUAUCGGAGUAUUGAAUAGAGCAAGGCUUUGGAAAUAUGACUUUUAUGAAGCAUAAAGAGUUGUGCCUUCUACAACGACCAUAAAGUCUGAUAAAUUAGGGUUGAUGUAAAAUCGACUUGAGAAAAUUUUGGUUGCUUGUGACAGUUCUUAAGACAAGGAAACUCUUAUAAAUCAAAUUUUGAAUAUAGUGGAAAUCAGUGUGAGGAGCAUGACUAAACUUGACUUGAUUUGCUGUGCCGUAAAUUUGAACAGAGAGUUCUUACAAUAAUAGAGAUCUAGGUAUCAGCAUUCUCGUAAAGUUUGCUGAGCUCUGCGAACUCCUUCUCUGAGUUAGCAGUCAGUUUUUGCCACAUGAUAUUACUAGUUGUCACAUGUUUUCUUGUGCAAUUCUAGCAUUAUGCAGGACGGAGGCUCUUGGUAAUGUGGGUUGUCACCAUGGACUACCCUGAGACCUGAGAAUAUUUCAUUUCCUACAAUUGCUACCUCCAUCACUGAGGAGUCUGAUGUUAUAUGUUUGCAUUCUCCUACUGCUCGGAAUAUUUUUCUAUGAAUAUUUCAGCUACCAAAAUAUCUGCAACAUACCAAAGUUUUAAGUCAUUUAUGUAAGAUUUGAAGAGGAUUUUGGGGGUCUGUUUGGUUAUUCUGCUGAAAGUUGUUGACAGUUGUCCGUUUGAUGUGGCGGAGACAUGUCAAAGAUGGACCCUCGAGUGUAUGGGAGGCGUGGAUAUUUCUAGCACAGUUGGUAUCCGGUAUGUUUCUUUUCAAGGGGUCCAGUCAAGGUUAUAGACUUGUAGUGCUGAUUAAGCACAAGCUUUCAUAUUCAAUGUUGAUAUCCAUAAAUACACAGACGCGUAAACUCAGUGGAGAAAAAUAUUGUUUCACUUUGAAAGUACAGCCAAGUAAAUUAAUCAAUGCUUGGGUUACUCCACUGUCUCAGCAUAAUGAACCCUAGAAUCUUGUAGGCUUUCCCUAUUCAAUGGAAAAAGCUCUAUGCUUUUACGUGUGGGGCAAGCAGCCAUUGUCUAAUAUAGUGAGGAGUUGGGUCAGGCUUGCUGUGGUUCUGAGUUACUUGGGGCUCAUUGAGUGGCAUUGUUGAUUACUGCAAAGCAGGAAUUCAUACAUUUGUGGAGCCUGGAGGCUGGGUAAUGACAAACACAGGCCCGAGAGUCUAAUCCUUCCUUUUAUAGCUUUAUAGGCUCUCUUGUCUUAACAGUACUUGAAACUGGAUAAGAAGUGUUACCAGCACUAAAAAUUUAUUGACAUGCGCCACACCCCCAACAACUAACACAUAUCCAUUGCAGUCAAAACAUAUUUUGUUUCUACUUAGUAAAUACAGUGUAUGUAGUUGGCUUGUCAGAGUUUUCGCUGUUCAAUUGGUCAAUUCCUUGAUAUAUUAUUUAGGUUGAACGUAAAAUUAUUGUUCUUGGAAAGGCUAUAUCUUUUCCUGAAGUUUAGUGAUGUUUCAGUUGAUGUGGAUUUGGCCGACUUUACUUACAGCCAGGCGCCAUCACAUAAAUUAGAUUUAACAUUUUACAUAUCUUCACCCUUUGUAGCCCGGGGGGUGGGGGAUUUUAUAUCCUUUUAAUUGUGCCUAAAGGGCUAUAUGCUGUGGCGAGCACUGUUUAUGAAAGGAGCUAUAUAAACAGGAAUCCAUAUCUUCCUGUUAGUUUUAACUUUCAAGUAAUUAGCGAGUUAAUAUACUUCACCAUGUCCCCUUCCACUAUUCCUCCUGGCCAAAAAUUUGCUUGCUCUGAGUUAUGCUUAUUAGAAUUGCAUAAAAUCCAAGAUUCUUUUCAUGCAGGGACUCGCGAGGGGGUCCAGAUCUCUCACCUAAUUUCAGUUUUCUCUAAUUUAACAUAUCAUUUUAAAGCUUACUAUGCAGGAUUAGAACCUGCGCAAUACAAGACCAAAGACCUCUAAUGAUGCUUGGUAAACGGUAGCCCCUCUAUUAAGGUUAGCUUAUUACUUAUCUAUAUAACAACUAUUUUUUGACAUUUCCUUGAAAAUUUUGGUCUGCUUUGCUUUUUUAUAAUGAAUAGCCCACACACUUAGCUUCUGGAUCAGCCUCUGUUUGCCUGUGUGUGUAAUGUGUGUAAAUACAUGUAACGGUAGCAAGUUGCCCGUAUUCUAUGAUUUCGAACGCACAGAAUAGUUGUGGUGACCCCUUCAUAGCAAAUGGGCUAUAGUGUUCUCCAGUUACCAUCUACAAACACUGUCAGAUUAAAUUAGUUGUCCCAAUUAAUGUCGGUCUGGUGGCAAACUGAAUAGUCCCAUGUGCCAGUCUCAAAUUUAACUCAGGGGAACACUGUGCGAACCCAGGUUAUUAAAGCCAGCACCCACGUCUUAGACAUUGUGGGGAUCAUCUGGGAUUUCCACCAUUGCACUUUUGACAGAUAGAAAGCUCCCUUUUGGGCCAGUGUUUUCUUGAGAGUUAAAGCCCGUUUGUAGUGACUCUCACUACUGUCGGUGAGUGAUCCGAACCUUUCUUGUUAUCUUUUUUGGACCGGUACCUUCGAAUUUCAAUUGAUAUUAUCUUGGCCAGUGGCCACACUCUCCUCUCUGGCCCUACCUUUCUGCUUCCUAAUUUGUUGCCUCAUCUUAUUCAUUCAUGUUUUCUGGGUGGGAACCCUACUAUUUUUAUGUGUGGUGGCUUGAAUAAAAACUAAAACUUACGCGUUGGUGCUAAUAUAAACUCAUCACUCUGUCAAAAGAUAGUGUUCGUAUAAUGAUAUAAUGUCAUGCGGUCAUUGACACAGGGCAAUGUAAAUUGAUAGCAAAAAGCUUUGAAAAUAUAGAACAAUUAUUUAUCACAAAAUUAAUUUAGAUGAUUAGUUGAAGGAUCCUUGUAUGAAGUGACUUGCACCCUUCAAUUAUUUCUAGACACUAUAGUUGCUUUCAGCUUAUUACUCUGCAAUUACCUUGGUGCAAAUAAUUGAGGAGUUUGCCUAGAAAAUCCUUGGAAAAUUAAAACGGGGCAAACAAGACAUAGAUAAGCAAUAGUAUUUAGGAUUUGAGGACAGAUGGGUACGGCGGAGGCUAGAGAGAAACGAGAGCUGAUAGAUGAUAACGAUUAUGAAGCAAGGUUACAGACACAUGGGCAUAUCAUGUGAUGGACUGUACUAAAUGCAGAGAAGGAGAUUUUUAAGAGUUGUGGACAUGUAGGGUAAAAGCUUGUUAUGGAGAUUAUGUAUUUAUAUAGUGUGAGAUGUAAUAUGGAAGGAUGCAAUCGAGAGGGAUUGAAAACAUGAGUACACAGCCCUGGAACAUGAACAGAACAUGUUCUUCAACAGCAUUGGCAUGUUUCGGGUUAGGAACGGUGGAGUGGGACGGCAGAUACCAAUCUUUGAUAAUUUCUGUCUUUCUAUUAAUGUUCACUGUCGUGCAUUUAUUUUCCUAUAUCCAAGUGUUCGUGUUUAAAUCAUGGAAGCCAAAGUAGAUGUUUGUUUCUGGUAGAGUAAUGAGAUGAGAUAGCUCAAACAGAAGGUUUAUCUCUUAUUGUCCCAUGUUUAGGGUUAAUUCUUAUUAAUACGAUAUUUGGUAGAACAAAUACUCGUUUGUAAGUUCUAAAUCCGUCCAAUUUUUCAAAUAAGGGUCCUAAAUGAGCAAUGUUACGUAUCCCAAAUUUUUUCAUUUUUUUCUAAAUAAAGUGACAGACAGAUGACUGGUUCUAAUUGGGUAAAAAUUUUACAGGGACCAUUAUUAUUAGAGAGGGUGAAAUUAACUAUACUGUCAAUUAAAAUUUGAAAAAAAAAUGAGGAAUAACUUUUGAGUAUCUAACAUUUUUCCAAACGUAAUUAUUCAAAAAAAACAGCUUCCGCACCCAAUUAGACAAGAGCACCUUUUCCGGGUUAUUGAUUGGUAACAUAUCAAAUGGUGGAUAUUACGUACUCAAUAUAGUGCGUUGUU